UCUUGUUCCAAAAGCUUUACUUUGCCCUGCUUAGCAGUUCUGCAAUUAGCCUAAUGGACUGAAGAUUUCUCUGAGCCAACAGGAGCUUCCUUUCUUCUAACUUUAUCUUCUCUUGAAGUUUCUUCUGCUCUUCAGCUUGAAGUUUCUCAAGCUGCUUUUUGUUUCGUCGAACUUCACGAUCUUUCUGCUUCUGUUCUCUCUUGCGCAAUUUUUCUUCCCUCUUUCUCUCUCUCUCAUAUUCUUCAAGUUCUCUCUGCUUCCUUUCUUCCUCUCUUUGUUUUUCCUCAGCUUCCUUCUCCCGGCGUUUCUGUUCUUCUCUCUGCUUUUCAAGCUCCUGAAGCUUCUGCCUUUCAAGCUGACGCUUCUUAAUUGAUGCAUCACUGAGGUGUUUUGUUGAGUCAAAAGAAACCUUUAUAUUGCAAGCCACAGCCUUGCCAUCAUCGCCUUUAAACAUCAGCUUCAUCCCUCG
rnacentral:lncRNA from 1 species